CACUCCUGCGGGAGGCAGCAGUGGGGAAUUUUGGACAAUGGGCGAAAGCCUGAUCCAGCAAUGCCGCGUGUGUGAAGAAGGCCUUCGGGUUGUAAAGCACUUUUGUCCGGAAAGAAAUCCUUGGCUCUAAUACAGUCGGGGGAUGACGGUACCGGAAGAAUAAGCACCGGCUAACUACGUGCCAGCAGCCGCGGUAAUACGUAGGGUGCGAGCGUUAAUCGGAAUUACUGGGCGUAAAGCGUGCGCAGGCGGUUUGCUAAGACCGAUGUGAAAUCCCCGGGCUCAACCUGGGAACUGCAUUGGUGACUGGCAGGCUAGAGUAUGGCAGAGGGGGGUAGAAUGCCACGUGUAGCAGUGAAAUGCGUAGAGAUGUGGAGGAAUACCGAUGGCGAAGGCAGCCCCCUGGGCCAAUACUGACGCUCAUGCACGAAAGCGUGGGGAGCAAACAGGAUUAGAUACCCCAGUAGUCCCAUGAU
rnacentral:rRNA from 1 species